rnacentral:rRNA from 1 species
AUUGAACGCUGGCGGCAGGCCUAACACAUGCAAGUCGAGCGGGGUUUUCGGACCUAGCGGCGGACGGGUGAGUAAUGCGUAGGAAGCUACCCGAUAGAGGGGGAUACCAGUUGGAAACGACUGUUAAUACCGCAUAAUGUCUACGGACCAAAGUGUGGGACCUUCGGGCCACAUGCUAUCGGAUGCGCCUACGUGGGAUUAGCUAGUUGGUGGGGUAAUGGCUCACCAAGGCGACGAUCCCUAGCUGGUUUGAGAGGAUGAUCAGCCACACUGGAACAGAGACACGGUCCAGACUCCUACGGGAGGCAGCAGUGGGGAAUAUUGGACAAUGGGCGCGAGCCUGAUCCAGCCAUGCCGCGGGUGUGAAGAAGGCCUUCGGGUUGUAAAGCACUUUCAGUAGGGAGGAAGGGUGUUGUGUUAAUAGCACAGCAUUUUGACGUUACCUACAGAAGAAGCACCGGCUAACUCUGUGCCAGCAGCCGCCGUAACAC